rnacentral:rRNA from 1 species
GACGAACGCUGGCGGCGUGCUUAACACAUGCAAGUCGAACGGUGAAGCGCCUUCCUUUUUGGUGGGUGUGGAUGAGUGGCGAACGGGUGAGUAACACGUGAGUAACCUGCCCCCUUCUUCUGGAUAACCGCAUGAAAGUGUGGCUAAUACGGGAUAUUCUGGGUCUGUCGCAUGAUGGGUCUGGGAAAGAUAUUGUUUCGGUGGGGGAUGGGCUCGCGGCCUAUCAGCUUGUUGGUGGGGUGAUGGCCUACCAAGGCGGUGACGGGUAGCCGGCCUGUGAGGGUGGCCGGUCACACGGGGACUGAGACACGGCCCAGACUCCUACGGGAGGCAGCAGUGGGGAAUAUUGCACAAUGGGCGCAAGCCUGAUGCAGCGACGCCGCGUGAGGGAUGGAGGCCUUCGGGUUGUGAACCUCUUUCGCCAGUGAAGCAGGCCUGCCUCGUUUGUGGGUGGGUUGACGGUAGCUGGAGAAGAAGCGCCGGCUAACUACGUG